UGUGUAUGUGUAUGAGUUUUUUUGUGUUUUUUUUUGUGUUUUUUUGUUCCUUCUUCCUUGUUGUCCUCUUUCUGAAAAUAG
rnacentral:ribozyme from 13 species